UGGAGAUCUAUGCCUGAGCAGAUUUCAUGUUUCAAUGAAGAAUGUCAGGCGUAUGAACAAGUCAAGACUUCAAAAGCAACAGAGGACAAUGAUGAGGAGAAAACUGGGAGAAAAGCAGGUCCUAAGAAAGUGUUCAAGUGGAAUGAGGAGAUCAGAGAGUGUUUGGGCCAAGUGCUGAAAGCAAAAGCAGACAAUUAUAAAAAGGAAAGGAAGGGG